rnacentral:rRNA from 1 species
AUGGAUCGGCGCAAGGGCAGCGGCAGCCGCGACGCCAACGGCGGCCUCGCGGAGGCGACGGCGUCCAGGCUCAGGUUCGAGGACGCCGACGAGGUGGCCGGGGAGGUCGGGAUGGAGGUGGAGGAGAGCCCCGCCGCGCCCGGGGAGGAGGUCAUCGGCAACGACAAGACCAGCGCCGACUACUACUUCGACUCCUACUCCCACUUCGGUAUUCAUGAAGAAAUGCUAAAAGAUGUUGUUCGGACAAGAUCAUAUCAAAAUGUUAUCACCCAGAAUAACUUUCUUUUCAAGGACAAAAUAGUCCUUGAUGUUGGUGCUGGGACCGGUAUCCUAUCACUUUUUUGUGCGAAGGCAGGAGCUAAGCAUGUCUAUGCGAUUGAAUGCUCACAGAUGGCGGACAUGGCAAAGGAAAUUGUGAAAACAAAUGGAUUUUCUGAAGUCAUUACGGUAAUAAAAGGGAAAGUUGAAGAAAUUGAGCUUCCUGUCCCAAAAGUAGAUGUCAUAAUCUCUGAAUGGAUGGGUUAUUUCCUCCUGUUUGAGAAUAUGUUGGACACUGUUCUUUUUGCACGUGAUAAAUGGCUGGCUGAUGAUGGUGUUGUCCUGCCAGACAAAGCCUCUUUACAUCUUACUGCAAUUGAAGAUGCAGAAUACAAGGAGGACAAAAUUGAAUUUUGGAAUAAUGUGUAUGGCUUUGAUAUGAGCUGUAUUAAGAAACAGGCAAUGAUGGAGCCACUUGUAGAUACUGUGGAUCAAAAUCAGAUCGUCACUAACUGUCAGUUACUGAAGACGAUGGAUAUUUCCAAGAUGUCAUCUGGGGAUGCAUCAUUUACUGUGCCGUUCAAAUUGGUAGCAGAGCGUAAUGACUUCAUCCAUGCUCUUGUUGCUUACUUUAACGUGUCAUUCACCAAAUGCCAUAAGCUGAUGGGCUUCUCGACAGGGCCCAGAUCAAAGUCCACUCACUGGAAGCAGACUGUUCUGUAUCUCGAGGAUGUGGUAACUAUCUGCGAGGGAGAGACUCUGUCGGGCAGCAUGACAGUUGCAAACAACAAAAAGAACCCUCGGGACAUCGACAUUACGCUGAAAUACGCCAUAAACGGCAAUAGGUGCAAGGUGUCCAGAACACAACACUACAAGAUGCGGUGA